rnacentral:rRNA from 1 species
CACGUAGGGCGCAAGCGUUGUCCGGAAUUAUUGGGCGUAAAGAGCUCGUAGGCGGUUUGUCGCGUCUGCUGUGAAAACUCGGGGCUUAACUCCGGGCCUGCAGUGGGUACGGGCAGACUAGAGUGCGGCAGGGGAGACUGGAAUUCCUGGUGUAGCGGUGAAAUGCGCAGAUAUCAGGAGGAACACCGGUGGCGAAGGCGGGUCUCUGGGCCGUAACUGACGCUGAGGAGCGAAAGCGUGGGGAGCGAACAGG